rnacentral:rRNA from 1 species
GAUGAACGCUGGCGGCGUGCCUAAUACAUGCAAGUCGAGCGAACAGACGAGGAGCUUUCUCCUCUGACGUUAGCGGCGGACGGGUGAGUAACACGUGGAUAACCUACCUAUAAGACUGGGUUAACUUCGGGAAACCGGAGCCAAUACCGGAUAAUAUAUUGAACGGCAUGGUUCAAUAGGGAAAGACGGUUUUGCUGUCCCUUAUAGAUGGAUCCGCGCCGCAUUAGCUAGUUGGUAAGGUAACGGCUUACCAAGGCAACGAUGCGUAGCCGACCUGAGAGGGUGAUCGGCCACACUGGAACUGAGACACGGUCCAGACUCCUACGGGAGGCAGCAGUAGGGAAUCUUCCGCAAUGGGCGAAAGCCUGACGGAGCAACGCCGCGUGAGUGAUGAAGGUCUUCGGAUCGUAAAACUCUGUUAUUAGGGAAGAACAAAUGUGUAAGUAACUAUGCACGUCUUGACGGUACCUAAUCAGAAAGCCACGGCUAACUACGUG